rnacentral:rRNA from 1 species
CCUACGGGGGGCUGCAGUGGGGAAUAUUGCACAAUGGGGGAAACCCUGAUGCAGCAACGCCGCGUGAGCGAUGAAGGCCUUCGGGUCGUAAAGCUCUGUCCUAAGGGAAGAAUAGUGACGGUACCUGAGGAGGAAGCCCCGGCUAACUACGUGCCAGCAGCCGCGGUAAUACGUAGGGGGCUAGCGGUAUCCGGAAUUACUGGGCGUAAAGGGUGCGUAGGCGGCCCUUCAAGUCAGAGGUGAAAGGCUACGGCUCAAACGUAGUAAGCCUAUGAAACUGUAGGUGUUGAGUGCAGGAGAGGAGAGUGAAAAUCACAGUGUAGCGGUGGAAUGCGUCGAUCUUGGUAGCAUCUCCAGUUGCGAUCGCAGCUGUCUAUCCUGUAACUGACGCUGGGGCACGCAAGCGUGGGGAGCGAACAGGAUGAGAUUCCCCAGUAGUC